UACGUAGGGUGCGAGCGUUAAUCGGAAUUACUGGGCGUAAAGCGUGCGCAGGCGGUUUUGUAAGCCAGAUGUGAAAUCCCCGGGCUCAACCUGGGAAUGGCAUUUGGGACUGCAAGGCUGGAGUGCGGCAGAGGAGACUGGAAUUCCUGGUGUAGCAGUGAAAUGCGUAGAUAUCGGGAGGAACACCAGUGGCGAAGGCGACUACCUGGCCUGUUCUUGACGCUGAGGCGCGAAAGCUAGGGGAGCAAACGGG
rnacentral:rRNA from 1 species